rnacentral:rRNA from 1 species
AACGAACGCUGGCGGCAGGCUUAACACAUGCAAGUCGAACGCAUCCUUCGGGGUGAGUGGCAGACGGGUGAGUAACGCGUGGGAACGUGCCCUUCAGUUCGGGAUAACCCAGGGAAACUUGGGCUAAUACCGGAUACGUGCGAGAGCAGAAAGAUUUAUCGCUGAAGGAUCGGCCCGCGUCUGAUUAGCUAGUUGGUGGGGUAAUGGCACACCAAGGCGACGAUCAGUAGCUGGUCUGAGAGGAUGAUCAGCCACAUUGGGACUGAGACACGGCCCAAACUCCUACGGGAGGCAGCAGUGGGGAAUAUUGGACAAUGGGCGCAAGCCUGAUCCAGCCAUGCCGCGUGAGUGAUGAAGGCCUUAGGGUUGUAAAGCUCUUUCGUCCGGGACGAUAAUGACGGUACCGGAAGAAGAAGCCCCGGCUAACUUCGUGCCAGCAGCCGCCGUAG